CCACACUUGGAGAGGCUGGUUGAAUCACAGUUGAACCUGGAAUAGAGCUCAUCUGAUUUACACUUUGCGGUCCCUGUGAUCCAAGAUAUUGAGUAAAAAGUGAGCUUGCUGACUGCCAGUUGGUAGAUGGGCUUUGGGAACUAGUGUAGGAACCUGGCAUACUAGUAGCAGAAUCAUUGUACACUGCACUGUCAGAGGCUGGCUGGAUCACAGUUACACCUGGGGCAGAGCUCAGAUUUAUUCCUUGCUGUCCCUGUGAUCCAAGAUAU